rnacentral:rRNA from 1 species
GCUUACGGCCAUACCAACCUGGCUAUGCCCGAUCUCGUCUGCUCUUGGAAGCUAAGCAGGUUUGGGCCUGGUUAGUACUUGGAUGGGAGACGGCCUGGGAAUACCAGGUGCUUUAAACU